rnacentral:lncRNA from 1 species
AUGAGCUUUUCCUGCUGCGUUCUCUGUGUGUGGAUUUUAACAAAGCUGACUCCUAAAAACUAUUUGGAUGUUAUUUAUUUUUCAUAUUUUCUAGGCGAUUGGAUAAAACUUGAUCCAUAUACGAGCACGGACGUUCAACUGUUGAAGGCCAGGGAGAGGAAAAAGGCCAUAGACAUUCUUCAACUCAAGAAUUCUGUGUCAGAACAUUUUUUCAUCAUUUUUCCCAGUUAUUUUCUCUCUUUACUGUCACAUGUAGGAAUUCAACUUGUUAGAUAAAAUUUAAUAAAACAAAAAUAAUCUGUGCUGCUUGUCAUGAUGUUUUUAAUAAAGAAAAUACCUGUAAUUCAGAAAAAGCUUUUUUCUUAUUAUGAAAAGAUACCCUCUGAUACUUCUCUGGAAAUGUUUUAAAUUCUUAAAGUAAAAUAGUUUGUGGUUUGAGGUUGUUCCUUUGUUUUGUCCCUGCAGCAUUUCCUGCUUGACCGCAUCAUCACUGAAGAAGAAAACGCAAAG